AAGGCUUCUUGGCCUCUUGGCUAAAGUCAAGUGUAGUAUCUGUUCUUACCAGUUUCAUAUCUGAUACGUCCUCGAUGAGAGGACUUUAUAUUAAAUGGAUUUUUGGGUGUGGGAGUUGGAUAUCUUACACACUUUCAGACUUUCAGGAGUUGAGCUGACUAUAACAACUUCGGAACUAUGUUUC